rnacentral:rRNA from 1 species
AGAAUCAACGCUGGCGGCGUGCCUAACACAUGCAAGUCGCACGAGAAAGGGUAGCAAUACCUGAGUAAAGUGGCGCACGGGUGAGUAACACGUGAAUGAUCUACCUCCGAGUGGGGAAUAACUGAGAGAAAUCUUAGCUAAUACCGCAUAACACUUACGAGUCAAAGCAGCAAUGCGCUUGGAGAGGAGUUCGCGGCCGAUUAGUUAGUUGGCGGGGUAAUGGCCCACCAAGACGAUGAUCGGU